rnacentral:lncRNA from 1 species
CAGAGAUAUUUUUUGAUUUCUAUUCUCUUCCCUCUUUUUCGUUUACCCAUUCGUUGUUUGAAGAACCCUAUCUUACCCUCACCAAAUUCUCACCUUGAAAACACUCAAAUGGUAGCCAUUUCUUGCUUCCUUCGACUUUGGCAUUCCUCCCCUUCAUCCAAGGUCAGGUAAAAUUUUUUCCUUCUACUGUUCUUUUCAUUUUCCUAUUUCCCAUUUUUUUCUUACCCACCAAUUUUUUCUACCCCUUUUUGUUACUGCUUCCUUCACCAUCAUCUUUGAUAUUUUUUUAAUAAACAUAAUCCCAAAUUUGAAAUCAUAUCGGAAACUCGAAACUGUGUUGGUAAGUAACAUUGAAGUUGUCCAACCUAUUAUCAAAAGAGAAAAGAUUUGUAUUUUCUUUCAUAACUGUAACUCCUAUUUGGUAUUGAAACGUGUAGACUUUUUUUAAAGGUAGACUCAAAUUUUUCGAAGGAAAUAUUAUCUAGCAUGAUCGUUGGUGAUUUAAUGUUACUUUUUUACUCUUUUAAUUUCUAUCGUAGGUUUAGAAUGGAUUUCAUGAAAUUUACCUAGAUAAAAGUAUUAUGGAUCUCAUAAAACGUGUAGACUUUGAGCUUUAUUGUCAUUGAUUGCCUGUUAAGAAAUUUGAAAAGAAAAUCGAACUGCAUUUGAAACCUUACAAAUCAUUUCUUUCCAAAUUUAAUUAAUUAAAUUAAUGUAAAUUGAAUUAUUAUGAAAUUGUCAAGUAAGCAAAAAAAUUCUUUCAAAGUUAGUCAACUAAUUAAAUUAUUAUAUUUGGACUAUAUAACAGAACAAGCCUAUUUCUACAAACUAUUACUGUGCUCCUCGAUAAAGCAUAUGUGCAUCUUGAAUUUUGUACCUUAUUUUGCUGGUAGAAGUAUAUGUGCUUUGGUUUCAUGCAGAAAUGCAAUGAGAUGCUUUAUUUAUUUUUACAGUUUCUAUUGACAGAGGAAAACCAUACUCAUUUGAAUCUUCAUUUGCUUUGUCAUACAGGCCAGAAAGACACCAUCACUGGAAUCUAUUGAUUCUUUUGGUGAAGAAGAGUAAAUUACUCAUUACAUUUAUAGCUUUUUGCUUUAUUAUUUGGAUUUCUUUUAACUAGUAUCUCUAUAUUUGAAAACUUACCUCAGGCUUUGUGCUUUUGCAAUUUUUUCUUAGCACAAGCAUGAAUCUUAGUCCAUCUUAAUCAUUUGAUAGUCAAUUAUUUGUAUGAUCUGACUCUGAGAUUGUAGCUAAUGUAGGCUGUUUUUUUAAUCAUUGCUGAUUUGUAUUGAUAACAUUUGGAUCAACAAAUUUCCCAUCCUCACUACUUUCCAUAUCUAAAUGAUUGACCUAUUUAAAAACUAAACAAUCUAAUAGCAAAUGGUGAUUCCAAUGAAACAAAUCAACCCCUAAAGUGGAAUAUAAAUCAUUUCCACAAACAAAAGGUAAACAAAAGAAUCAACCCCCAAAAAAUUCUAUUUUAUAAUAAGCAGUAUCAAUUAUGAACUAAAACAAGAUAAAUCGAUGCUUACCUACUUCAAGUAUAGGAACAAUGGUUGACAAUAAGUUGGUGUGACAGAUUUGCUUCUAUUCCAUACCAGAUAGAAUAUCUCACCUCCCUUUGUGAGUUAAAUUUCAAUUAUUGUAUUCAUUUGAUGUCAUUGCCUCAAGGUAUAAAGAGUCUCACAACAUUCUAUGCAUUAGGGGAUGCCCACAUUUGGAAAAGUGGUGCAACGAAGGGGGAGGAGAGGGUUGGCCUUACAUAGCACGUGUUCCCUAUAUUAAAUCACGGCUUAUGAUAAAGCAUGGUACUCUAAGCGACGAAGAUCCCAUGGCAGUCUCUUUACUUUAAUUCUAUCUUUUCCUUUAUAUGUGCCUUGAUUAUCAUCCUGAAAUGGUUGACCAAGUCUUUCUAUUAAUAAUGUUUCUUGUUAUGCUGUUCUAUGUUAUUUGGACUCAGGGACAAGUAUGGGGUGCAUUAAGUGGCCAAGAUGAGUAUUAGGUGCAAUAUAACCUAUGCGUUUUGACAAUUUGUGUAUAUAUCCCUUUUAAUAGUUGACCUACAUUUGCAAUCUAUGUUACUUGGACUUGAUAUGAGUCUCAGAACUAUGUAUGCAUCCAACAUGGGUAUGUUAAUUAUUUUUCCAUGAUUUUGAUUCAUUUGGAGACUUUGGAAUGAUUAUAGCGUGAUAAUCAUGUCCGAAUAUGCACUGGAUAUGGGUAUCAGACAUGGUUGGUUUAAGAAAAUUAGAAGAUUUAGAGCAAUAUAAUUUGCAAUGAAAAGCCCAGAACGUAUCAGUUUUGAACUGGAAAAAAGAAGAAGCAAAUCAAGGUUUUAAUUCAAUGCAUUGGGCUUGUUUUGCAGGUUUGGUGAUUGGACAUUUGACCUAGCAAGUAAGUUGUUGAAAUGUAAGCCGGAGUCAUGAAUAACAAGGUAAUGGGCGAGUGAAAAUGUUGUUAUCUGGGUUCAACAUAAUCUGCACCAUCUACGAUUUAUGUUAUUUAGAUUCAUUCAAUUGUAGGUGUUGAGUAGAGUAUGUAUGAUGUAUCUAGUGUAGGUCUAUUCAAUAUUUUUGAGAUUUUUAUAUACAAAAUUCUUAAAAGAUCUAUGUUUAAAUGUUAAUAAUACUAUAUGCUAUUUGCUCAAAAAAAUGAACUUGACAAAAUGAAAAAAAAAAUAGUAGAUCCGUAGUAGAACCACUAGUCUAUCUCUUUGGCAUGUAAUAAUUUUGAGAAAGAAAAUAUUGGUAUAGUUAUUGUUUUAUUUUUGUAUUCACAUGUACGUAUCGAUCCAAAGUUUUUAAUAUUAUUCUAUACUAAGAUUUUUUUUAUAAUCUUUUUACUUUUUUCUAUUUUUUAAUGAAUUUCAGAUAAUUUUGUUGAAAUAUAAUUUUGUAAGUUUUAUAAUU